rnacentral:lncRNA from 1 species
GUGCAGUGGACAUGUCAGGCUUGCCAUCGGCCAAGAGAAGAAGGCCUUCCUGGCCCCCGAGUGCCUGUGGUUGGCGGGACCACCAGAAGAAGUGUGCCCCCACUAUGGGCACCUUGCCGACAGGAGUGACCAGACGGUGCAUUGGACAGGCCACGCUCGCCGUCGGUCGAGAGAAGGCCUCCCUGGCCCCCAAGUGCCUGUGAUUGGUGGGACCGCUGGAAAAGGUGUGCCCUGCUAUGGGAAUCUUACCGACAGGAGCACCCAGACGGUGCAGUGGACACACCAGGCUCGCCAUUGGCGGAGAGAAGAAGGCCUCCCUGGUCUCCGAGUACCUGUGGUUGGCGGGACUGCUGGAAGAGGUGUUGCCUGAGACGGGCACCUUGCUGACUGGAGCGUCCGGACGGUAAGCCUUCCCUGGGUGUCAGCUAGUGCCCCUGGCUUUAGGCUUUCGCAAGCCUGUCCAAAAGGCCACUAAGGAAGGUUGCUGGAAGGACAUGUGGGGUUUUGAACCCAGAGGGGCCUGUCCUUUAAUGGCUCUGCAUGUCCUGGGCCACAGGAAGACCCUGAGUCCUUCAGCUUGUCCCGCUGAGCCAUCUGGCCCACCAGGGUCGGCUGUGCAGGUGGCCCCGAAUGUGCUCGGAUCGAUGAUGACUCCCUCAACAGCAUUCCUUGGAAAGCUGAACAAAAUGAGUGAGAACUCCCUACCGUCUUUCUCGUCGAAACUGAGGUCCAGCACAUUGUCUACCCCAGGGAAGGUAAGGGUCAGGGACAGCAGGCUUCCCCUUGGUCACACUCCUUCAAGCACCAGCACCCACAGCCUCUGCCUAGGAGAGCCUCACGGGGGACUCAUGGUCAGGGAAGCAUUUACCACCUGAGCAGGGUUUCCAAGGCAUGCAGGUCCUGAGGGGAAUGGUCGGCGACUGGGGUCGAGGGGGGCAGCCGGUCCCCCAAGGCCUAGGGCUUCAACGGCGUGUCUUGUGGCACCGGCCCUUGGGAGUCGAGGGCUGGGACCUGUGUAGGCCAGGAUGGCCCCACAGGCAUAAGCUCGUGGCAGUGUGUGUUGAGAGGCCAAGCAUGGCAAGCUUGCCUGGCCUGUGGGUGGGGGUGCAGAGGCCCAGCCCGAGGCAGCAGCGAUCCCUGGACGAGCCCUUUCUCUCACUGACGUACGUGGAGCGGCCCCUGGCUCGGGCUUCUGGGCCAAGGCAAGAGGCCGGGCUGCGGCACCGGCCAGGUUGGAAACAUCGGCCCUGCCCGGCGUGGCGAGCGGAGCCCCUGGGUAGCUUGGUCACGCCCGCGGGCGAUUGCUCCCCCUUUCUCAGGUGCAGUGGCCACGCCAGGCUCGCGGUCGGCCGAGAGAAGAAGGCCUCCCUGGCCCCCGAGUGCCUGUGGUUUGCGGUACGGCCGGAAGAAGUGUGGCCCGGAACGGGCACCUUGCUGACGGGAGCGUCCGGACGGUGCAGUGGCCACGCCAGGCUCGCGGUCGGCCGAGAGAAGAAGGCCUCCCCGGCCCCCGAGUGCCUGUGGUUUGCGGUACGGCCGGAAGAAGCGUGGCCCGGAACGGGCACCUUGCUGACGGGAGCGUCCGGACGGUGCAGUGGCCACGCCAGGCUCGCGGUCGGCCGAGAGAAGAAGGCCUCCCCGGCCCCCGAGUGCCUGUGGUUUGCGGUACGGCCGGAAGAAGCGUGGCCCGGAACGGGCACCUUGCUGACGGGAGCGUCCGGACGGUGCAGUGGCCACGCCAGGCUCGCGGUCGGCCGAGAGAAGAAGGCCUCCCCGGCCCCCGAGUGCCUGUGGUUUGCGGUACGGCCGGAAGAAGCGUGGCCCGGAACGGGCACCUUGCUGACGGGAGCGUCCGGACGGUUAAUGUGAACCAAAACCUUGGUUUCAUAUGAAUAAAAAGUAUCUCCUUCCUCUUGAGAUGUGACA